AGCGAACGUUAGCGGCGCGCCUAACACGUGCAAGUCGCACGAGAAAGGGAGCAAUCCCCGGUACAGUGGCGCACGGGUGAGUAACACGUAGAUGACCUUCCCUGGAGUGGUGGAUAACCUGCCGAAAGGCGGGCUAAUACAGCAUGGGACCACAUGGUUUUGACCGAGUGGUGAAAGCGGGCCUCUGUUCACAAGCUCGCGCUCUGGGAUGGGUCUGCGUCCCAUCAGCUAGUUGGUGAGGUAAUGGCUCACCAAGGCAUCGACGGGUAGCUGGUCUGAGAGGAUGACCAGCCACACUGGAACUGAGACACGGUCCAGACUCCUACGGGAGGCAGCAGUGGGGAAUCUUGCGCAAUGGGCGAAAGCCUGACGCAGCGACGCCGCGUGGGUGAUGAAGGCCU
rnacentral:rRNA from 1 species